CUUUUUUUGGGAGAAAUGUGUUUUUGAACAAUGAUUUUUUGUAUAAUGUGUAUUCAAAAAGUAUGGAAAAAUUUUUGUUGUGUAAAAUUUUUUUAUGGGAAAAUUUGUGCUUGAAAAUAAGUUUUAGAAAAACCGGGCUCAUACCAGGCUUAUAAAUUAGCAAUGUCGAUGAAUCAAUAUUCUUUAUUCUCAUGAAAUGGCAGUGAAAACAAUUUAGUCAACACAUUAUGCCCUUGUUUGAGCCCUAUUUUUGACAAAAAAACAAAAAAUACAUUUUUGAAUAGUGUAUUGAUAGAAAAUAUAUGGUUAAAAAAUAAAGAAAAGUUUUAGAUUUGCGUUUAAUACUAUUUUAAUAAAGAAUGUGUGAUUAAAAUUGAGUCAAGUUGUUUCGCGCGGGUUCGUCGCUAACAAUUAAAAGGGAUCAGACGAUUGUGUAAGGGACAAACCUCUUGAGACAAAGUCCCAAAAAGAGGUGUUCUUUUAUUGGCGAUGACUUUACAAUUGGAAAUUAAAAACAGAAUGCCUCCAAGGGGCGUAAGUACACGAGUUACUGAAAGAAGUGUUUAAAUCUAAGUUAAGGAAAUUAAAAUUACAUGUUCUCUAUUCGAGAGUUUUUGAUUCGGUGCUUUGCUCUAUGUCUUUUCUUCCUUUUAUACUCUUUGGAUGAUCUCUUUGUGAUCAACCGCCUAAAAACUGUUUGAUCGUUCUACAACUGUCCACUUUCCUCGUAAUGACCAACUUGUCAUGGAACUGCCUUUUUUAACUGCUGCCAUUAUUCUUCGUCGUUCAACCGUUUUCGAUUGAAUUCCUUGAAUCGUGGAACGUGAUAGGGCUGCUUUAAUAACUGCUUUGAUAACUGUACUUCUUGAUAACCACCACACUUUAUGUUUGCUAAGACCUUGGGCGACUCGAAGGUUUGGGCGAGAAUAGAGUAAAAGCUCUGGGCGACUGCAUGGCACUCCAUUCGCUCAGAUUCUGGGCGACUUGCAAACUUGGGCGAUGGUGUUACCACGUUCUUGGGCCUCCCUAUUUGGGCCUUCAUCUUGAAUUGUUUGAUUGGGCUUCGUUCUUCGGGCUAUCUGAUUUGGGGAUCCUCCAAUUGGGCUUCAUUCCUUGGGCCGUUCGAUUUGGGCUGAAUUUUUAUGUGUCAACAAUUACCGCCCAAUAUGGCAAAAUUAAUACCAAUUAUUAAAUUUUGCCAUAUUCACUUUGUGUUUCCAGCAACAUUCAAAAUUUCCAAGAAUUUCAAUCAUUGUUUUCUUGCAUAGCUUGAAAAGGUGCGACAUUUUGUAAACCCUUAUAACCCCCAAACACGCCAUUUCACUGCACCAUUAAAUCACGCCUCACUUUUUUGCGUCUCUCCCACGAUUUACUAUUCAUCUUUUGCUUCCCUGCUACGUAACUCUGAAAAAACUCCGUUUCAUCCCUAAUGGCAACUUCACAAUCUCAAGCUGGCGACUCCUUUAGUUUUGAUGACUUUCAGAAACUUCUGAGUCGUCCAUACAUAACUCCGAGUUUUCUCG
rnacentral:lncRNA from 1 species